rnacentral:rRNA from 2 species
GUAAUUCUAGAGCUAAUACAUGCUAAAAACCCCGACUUCGGAAGGGGUGUAUUUAUUAGAUAAAAAACCAAUGCCCUUCGGGGCUCUUUGGUGAUUCAUAAUAACUUAACGGAUCGCAUGGCCUUGCGCCGGCGACGGUUCAUUCAAAUUUCUGCCCUAUCAACUUUCGAUGGUAAGGUAUUGGCUUACCAUGGUUUCAACGGGUAACGGGGAAUUAGGGUUCGAUUCCGGAGAGGGAGCCUGAGAAACGGCUACCACAUCCAAGGAAGGCAGCAGGCGCGCAAAUUACCCAAUCCCGACACGGGGAGGUAGUGACAAUAAAUACUGAUACAGGGCUCUUUUGGGUCUUGUAAUUGGAAUGAGUACAAUUUAAACCCCUUAACGAGGAACAAUUGGAGGGCAAGUCUGGUGCCAGCAGCCGCGGUAAUUCCAGCUCCAAUAGCGUAUAUUAAAGUUGUUGCAGUUAAAAAGCUCGUAGUUGAAACUUGGGCCUGGCUGGCCGGUCCGCCUCACCGCGUGUACUGGUCCGGCCGGGCCUUUCCUUCUGGAGAGCCUCAUGCCCUUCACUGGGUGUGUUGGGGAACCAGGACUUUUACUUUGAAAAAAUUAGAGUGUUCAAAGCAGGCCUUUGCUCGAAUACGUUAGCAUGGAAUAAUAGAAUAGGACGUGCGAUCCUAUUUUGUUGGUUUCUAGGACCGCCGUAAUGAUUAAUAGGGAUAGUCGGGGGCAUCAGUAUUCAAUUGUCAGAGGUGAAAUUCUUGGAUUUAUUGAAGACUAACUACUGCGAAAGCAUUUGCCAAGGAUGUUUUCAUUAAUCAG